GCCUUAAGUUUUAGGGUUAACCGGGAGCAGUACUGCAGUAAAGAGGGUUUUACGAAUUCGUGUACUGUUUAUCCCAGUUCUGGUCGUAUCCCAGUUCUGGUGGCUACAGACGUGGACUGGGAUCAAAAGAAAAGACUAGAACGCAGUAACCCAUUCCGUGCUGGAACGCGGUUAUCUGGUUGCACAAUACCCGGAAGUGUGUUGAAGUGAUAUUUGUGUUCAGCUCGCCAGUUCAGUUAGACAUUCUACACUUCUGCCCGCAUUUGGCUGGUUGUACACAGUGUAUAUUUCGAUAAUUCGUUUCGGGCAGCAUGCUGGUAGUGAUCUUCCUCUGUUGUCUACACCUAGUGGUGUUGCAGGCAGUCCCCCGCGAAGUUGCAGAUCCUCUUCCGCCUCGGGGUUUCCUACCCCCCAGUGGCAUUCGACGCUCCAGGAGUUCCGGCAGUGAGAACGCUGUCAAUAACCCCAACCGUGUCCCAGAGUUCCUGCCCUUCUCUAAGAACGCUGAGGGUGUUCCACAACUCUCCAUUAAGAACAUACGGGACAGUCUGGGAAUGCCAACCAAACAACUGGACACUGUGGUCAAGCAGAAUAAGCUCCCAAAUCUGGACGGGCUGACCAUGGAGCAGAUCAAACAAAGGUACGAUCCCCACGGGAACAAGCCCCAGCCCAAUGCGAGGAAUCAACCCCCGAGAUGGACAAACACCAAGUCUCCCCGGCUCUUCCGAGGCCCCCUGUCGGGAAGAGGGUGGCAAAGGAUGAACAUUAAGUGACUAUCUAAAAAGGUGAUAGAACACCACCACAGCCACCAACAACGACAUGAACAACAACCAAAUUCAGCGUAAGAUGCGAACAUUUACAGAAGAGAAGAUAACAACGUGUUUCCUUGUUUGUGUUUCUUAUACCGUGGUGACCAUGUAUUUUCAACCAACUCACCGAAAUACUUUGGUGACGUGAACGAAAACUGUGUUUCUCUACAGUUGGACCAUGUUUUUGUACGGAUUUUCCUCAGAGACGUUGUUCCAUAAUCCCAAGGCAACUAUAACUAUAAGUUGAAUCCCCUCCUUAUUUCAUAUAUCUCGACCUCACCUGUAUCUUUUGAAAAACUAUCUCAUGAAAAGUGUCCAUGGUUCCAACGAUACUUGAUGACAAACUCCAAGAUACCUGCACGUUUCGCCAAAAAGUUAUAAGUAUUAAGUCGCAUCAUUGUUUCAAAGAAGCAAGGGAAAUAAUCUGAAGGAAUGUAAAGAACAGUUACCAAAUAUCUUCGGAUGAUCACUUCUGGAAUAUUCCAAUCCGUAUUCAAGAUGUAGGAAAUACUGCUUAAUUAAAGAUAAUUAACUCAG